rnacentral:rRNA from 1 species
AGUGAACGCUGGCGGUAGGCCUAACACAUGCAAGUCGAACGGCAGCACAGUAAGAGCUUGCUCUUACGGGUGGCGAGUGGCGGACGGGUGAGGAAUACAUCGGAAUCUACUUUUUCGUGGGGGAUAACGUAGGGAAACUUACGCUAAUACCGCAUACGACCUACGGGUGAAAGCAGGGGAUCUUCGGACCUUGCGCGAUUGAAUGAGCCGAUGUCGGAUUAGCUAGUUGGCGGGGUAAAGGCCCACCAAGGCGACGAUCCGUAGCUGGUCUGAGAGGAUGAUCAGCCACACUGGAACUGAGACACGGUCCAGACUCCUACGGGAGGCAGCAGUGGGGAAUAUUGGACAAUGGGCGCAAGCCUGACCCAGCCAUACCGCGUGGGUGAAGAAGGCCUUCGGGUUGUAAAGCCCUUUUGUUGGGAAAGAAAAGCAGCAGGUUAAUACCCCGCUGCUCUGACGGUACCCAAAGAAUAAGCACCGGCUAACUUCGUG